rnacentral:rRNA from 1 species
AAUUUGAAAUCUGGCGCCUUCGGUGUCCGAAGUUGUAAUUUGAAGAUUGUAACCUUGGGGUUGGCUCUUGUCUAUGUUUCUUGGAACAGGACGUCACAGAGGGUGAGAAUCCCGUGCGAUGAGAUGCCCAAUCCUAUGUAAGGUGCUUUCGAAGAGUCGAGUUGUUUGGGAAUGCAGCUCUAAGUGGGUGGUAAAUUCCAUCUAAAGCUAAAUAUUGGCGAGAGACCGAUAGCGAACAAGUACAGUGAUGGAAAGAUGAAAAGAACUUUGAAAAGAGAGUGAAAAAGUACGUGAAAUUGUUGAAAGGGAAGGGUUUGAGAUCAGACUCGAUAUUUUGUGAGCCUUGCCUUCGUGGCGGGGUGACCCGCAGCUUAUCGGGCCAGCAUCGGUUUGGGCGGUAGGAUAAUGGCGUAGGAAUGUGACUUUACUUCGGUGAAGUGUUAUAGCCUGCGUUGAUGCUGCCUGCCUAGACCGAGGACUGCGAUUUUAUCAAGGAUGCUGGCAUAAUGAUCCCAAACCGCC